AUGGCUCAAGAGUUUGUGAACUGCAAAAUCCAGCCUGGGAAGGUGGUUGUGUUCAUCAAGCGCACCUGCCGGUACUGCAGGAGGGCCCAAGAGAUCCUCAGUCAAUUGCCCAUCAAACAAGGGCUUCUGGAAUUUGUUGAUAUCACAGCCACCAACCACACUAACGAGAUUCAAGAUUAUUUGUAACGGCUCACAGGAGCAAGAACGGUGCCUCGAGUCUUUAUCGGUAAAGAUUGUAUAGGCGGAUGCAGUGAUCUAGUCUCUUUGCAACAGAGUGGGGAACUGCUGACGCGGCUAAAGCAGAUUGGAGCUCUGCAGUAACCACAGAUCUCAUAGGAAAUGUUCAACAAUUCUGUGAAAGGUCACAGGACCCAACUGGAGAAAUCAUGUGAAAAGCAUAGUUGGUCUUGGUGUCAUAUGGAUCAGAGGCACAAGUGCAGAGGCUGUGGUCAUGCGGAACACUCUGUUAUUUAAGAUGGCUAUCCAGAUAAUCCUGAACACUGUGUAUUUAUUUGAUCUAGACUACCAGCGAAGAUUAAAGCAUGCAAUGUAAAACAUCUGAGAAAACUUACAGCCCCCUACACCAAGAGUGUAUCUGUCAAACAGCUCCUACACUUCGAAAACUUAAGAAUCCCUUAUCAUGAAGUUUGCCUGUUCUAGAAUUGUAAGAUUGUUAAUUUCCUUCAGUCUCUAGUGACAACACUUAAUUUCUUUUCUAAUAAAAAAAUACCUAUAGAUGAAAAAAAA